AUUGAACGCUGGCGGCAGGCCUCACACAUGCAAGUCGAACGAGUGGCGGACGGGUGAGUAAUGCCUGGGCAACUGCCUGAUGGAGGGGGAUAACUACUGGACACGGUAGCUAAUACCGCAUACCAUCUCCUGUGCCCAGAUGGGAUUAGCUAGUAGGUGGGGUAACGGCUCACCUAGGCGACGAUCCCUAGCUGGUCUGAUAGGAUGACCAGCCACACUGGAACUGAGACACGGUCCAGACUCCUACGGUAGGCAGCAGUGGGGAAUAUUGCACAAUGGGCGCAAGCCUGAUGCAGCCAUGCCGAGUGUAUGAAGAAGGCCUUCGGGUUGUAAAGUACUUUCAGCGGGGAGGCGUUACCCGAAGAAGAAGCACCGGCUAACGCCGUGCCAGCAGCCGCGGUAAUAC
rnacentral:rRNA from 1 species